UAGGGAAUAUUAGAAAUGGACGAAAGUCUGAUCUAGCAACACCGCGUGUGCGAAGAAGGCCUUCGGGUUGUAAAGCACUUUUUGGAAGGAUUAGGAAGGAAUGUACUUCCAGAAUAAGUCUCGGCUAACUACGUGCCAGCAGCCGCGGUAACACGUAGGAGGCAAACGUUAUCCGGAUUUACUGGGCGUAAAGCGCGUGUAGGUGGUUCUGUAAGUAGGGCGUGAAAGCUCCUGGCUCAACUGGGAGAGGCCGUUCUAAACUGCAGAGCUAGAGGAUGGUAGAGGGAGGUGGAAUUCCAGGUGUAGCGGUGGAAUGCGCAGAUAUCCGGAGGAACACCAGUGGCGAAGGCGGCUCUCUGGACUGUAACUGACACUGAGGCACGAAAGCGUGGGGAGCAAACA
rnacentral:rRNA from 1 species